CGGACACGCCACUGUCCGCUCCUCUAUUCGCGUAGUAGUUCUACCCCUCUCCAACCACCCUCGUUUCAACCCCUCGAUGGCGACGCCCAGCGUCGAUCCGCCGUGUUUCCAUCUUCCACCACGCAGACUCGAACAUCCAUCGCUCCAUGGCGCUUGUGCGUGGCUCGUUGCAUCCUCCGAAAACACCGUGCUCGAUUUUCUCCUCAAAAUAUCCUUCUUGCAAUUACUCGCAAGUUAUCGCGACAUGAACCGCGUGAUUUAACGAGUGCUGUCGCAUACUCUGUGUUAAUUCGAACGAUGUUACAAACUGUUUCGAGUGCAAAGUGACAUUUUGAACCGAUUUAAGAUCGGCUUCAGAUUUUUUCAGUGACAUGUUUGUCGACACUUUCAGAUCCAAUUGUGUUAUUACACGGUCCGUAAGGAAGAUUGUGAUUGUCACGGAAUCGUAGAAAAGUUCGAUGCAUGCGUUUUCAUCCCUCGGGGCGCAGGCUCGUCCGGAAUCCAUUACUACCAUCCGGGGGUGGUGGGGUCUCUAGCUACGUUCUUUGGAAGCACCUCAAAAUAUUUGCGAACGAUGUCUUUUCAUACACAGGGUUAAUGUACGGAUGUCGAUUGUUCAAAGAGGGACUGUCGCGACGAAAGGGUUGAUUGAUGCUGACUCGGCUGCUUUAUCGCCACUUACACGGUGAUCAAGGUGACAACAGAAAAGUUACAUCGUUUAAAUUAAAAUCGGUUAAAACUCCAAUUACGGCUAUGAUUUCAUUUUGGGUCCACUUUCAGUUGCAUUCGUACGGAAAGCUAUUUAGGAACCAGUGCCCGCCUUAAUUCGAGUUAAUCCCCGAUUGGCAAACAUAAGGAGAUAAUACUAAGAGGAUUAACCCUCAACGCAAAGCUCUAGGAUUUUUGGAAGACUAUCGUUGUCGUAUCUGUUUCAAUCCCAGAACAAAAUAAUCCAAGAUAAACAAGGAACGCUGAUGACCAAGUAACCUGGAAAUGCAAGGUACAUCGACACGCGUGCUCGAAUAAAAGAAGCUGUACCGCUACGGAAUAAGAGAAGAAAGAGGAUGAAGGAGAACACGACCUUGCUACAUUCAGCUGUGUCAUCCGUGAGCCGUUAACGCUCAGGUGCUUUCGAUCCCAGGGAGGAGCAUCAAUCACUAUCGAUAGUGCAGGUGGUGAAAAGAAGAAGAAAAUGGAGGACAUUGUCGAUACUGGGCCAACGAAGAGGUUAUGCGGCACGUAUGUUACUCAAAAUCGUAAACAAGAAUCUGAUAAAAUUAUAGAAAAAGUUCUGCGUUGAUCAACGUGCCGAUAGGAGAAGGCCCAGUUAAUGCUCUACAUCUACCCUGUAGAUCCGAAUUUGUUUGAUAAGAGGCGACAAAUUCGGUUCUAGAGAGGUUUGUGUGGUGCAUACAGAGCUACGGUGUGGUCUCUAAACAGCGUGCAAACUCGCGAUCUAUUGCUAAUCGUUAUGACAAAGUUAAAUUAGUGGAAUUUGGGAGAGUUGGGAUUUGGGAGAGUUGGAAUUUGGGAGAGUUGGGAUUUGAGAGAGUUGGGAUU